rnacentral:lncRNA from 1 species
UUUAUUUAGCUUUCUAAGUUUCAAAUACAGUACAGGUUUGGAGAGUUGGGCCCUGUUUGGAUGCACAGUUAAAAAACUUUAUGGAAUUUUUAUUAUAUGGUUUUGGUCUAAAUGAAAUACGGAAUCCUGUAACUAUAAAAAAAUUCCAUAGUUUCAUUUCUAAACUGUUUGGAUAUAUAUAUCAUACAAUUCUACAGUAUUUAUAACAAUUAAAUUUCUAAAAUUUUAAAAUUCAAAAUUCAAAACUCAAAAUUCAAAAUUCAAAAUUCAAAAUUUAAAAAUAAAAUUUUAAAAAUUUAAAUUAAAAAUUCAAAAUAUAAAAUUAAAAUUUAAAAUUUAAAAUUAAAAAAGUAAAUUAGAUUUUAUGUUUUAAAUUUGAAAUUUGAAAUUUGAAAUUUGAAAUUUCAAAUUUGAAAU